GACGCUGGCGGCGUGCCUAAUACAUGCAAGUCGAACGGUCUUUCUAUGGAAGCUUGCUUCCACUGAGAAGAUAGUGGCGAACGGGUGAGUAACACGUGGGUAACCUGCCCAUAAGAGGGGGAUAACAUCCGGAAACGGGUGCUAAUACCGCAUAGUUUUCUUGAUCGCAUGAUUGAGAAAGGAAAGACGGCCUUUGUGCUGUCGCUUAUGGAUGGACCCGCGGCGUAUUAGUUAGUUGGUGAGGUAACGGCUCACCAAGACGAUGAUACGUAGCCGACCUGAGAGGGUGAUCGGCCACAUUGGGACUGAGACACGGCCCAAACUCCUACGGGAGGCAGCAGUAGGGAAUCUUCCGCAAUGGACGAAAGUCUGACGGAGCAACGCCGCGUGAGUGAAGAAAGGUUUUCGGAUCGUAAAACUCUGUUGUCAGAGAAGAACAAGUUGGAGAGUAACUGCUCCAGCCUUGACGGUAUCUGACCAGAAAGCCACGGCUAACUACGUGCCAGCAGCCGC
rnacentral:rRNA from 1 species